rnacentral:rRNA from 1 species
GACGAACGCUGGCGGCGUGCUUAACACAUGCAAGUCGAACGGAAAGGCCCUGCUUUUGUUGGUUGCUCGAGUGGCGAACGGGUGAGUAACACGUGAGUAACCUGCCCUUGACUUUGGGAUAACUUCAGGAAACUGGGGCUAAUACCGGAUAGGAUCUCCUGCUGCAUGGUGGGGGUUGGAAAGUUUCGGCGGUUGGGGAUGGACUCGCUGGUUAUCAGCUUGUUGGUGGGGUAGUGGCUUACCAAGGCUUUGACGGGUAGCCGGCCUGAGAGGGUGACCGGCGACAAUGGGACUGAGAGACGGCCCAGAAUCCUACGGGAGGCAGCAGGGGGGAGUAUUGCACAAUGGGCGGAAGCCUGAUGCAGCAACGCCGCGUGCGGGAUGACGGCCUUCGGGGUGUAAACAGAUUUGGACGGUGACGAAGAGUGAGUGACGGUAAUGGGUAAAGAAGCAACGGCUAACUACGUG